rnacentral:rRNA from 1 species
AUUGAACGCUGGCGGCAGGCCUAACACAUGCAAGUCGAGCGGAGCGGCGGACGGGUGAGUAAUGCCUAGGAAUCUGCCUGGUAGUGGGGGAUAACGUCCGGAAACGGGCGCUAAUACCGCAUACUAUCAGAUGAGCCUAGGUCGGAUUAGCUAGUUGGUGGGGUAAAGGCCUACCAAGGCGACGAUCCGUAACUGGUCUGAGAGGAUGAUCGGCCACAUUGGGACUGAGACACGGCCCAGACUCCGACGGGAGGCAGCAGUGGGGAAUCUUCCGCAAUGGACGAAAGUCUGACGGAGCAACGCCGCGUGAGUGAUGACGGCUUUCGGGUUGUAAACCUCUUUCGCUAUCGAACGGGUAGGUGGAGAAGAAGCGCCGGCUAACUACGUGCCAGCAGCCGCGGUAAUAC